AAGUCGUAACAAGGUUUCCGUAGGUGAACCUGCGGAAGGAUCAUUACAACACUUACUGUAUCCACAGCCUACCGUCUUUUCGUGAACAUUUGUUCUGCCGUUUGCGUCGUCGUUUUGGGGUGGUGCUGUCCUGGCGUCUUGUCUAGGGGACCCGAUGAGUGUCGGGAGGUUCCCGAGUCCGGGCAGUGCGUUCUCUCCGCAAGGGGAGGCCUCUGACUGCAAACGUGUGUCUCACUUCCCCACUCUUCAAAACUAUUAUUAUCACCUUGUACCUUUUCUAUAUGAACUGACCUCUCGAGAAGGCCGCUGGCUUCACGCCGGCCCUUCUUGCAAGACUAUACGUAAAAGAGAAGAACAACUCUUAACAACGGAUAUCUUGGCUCUC
rnacentral:misc_RNA from 1 species